rnacentral:rRNA from 1 species
CCUACGGGUGGCAGCAGUGGGGGAUAUUGCACAAUGGGGGAAACCCUGAUGCAGCGACGCCGCGUGUGGGAAGACGGUCCUCUGGAUUGUAAACCACUGUCCCCAGGGACGAAGAUGACGGUACCUGGGGAGGAAGCUCCGGCUAACUACGUGCCAGCAGCCGCGGUAAUACGUAGGGAGCGAGCGUUGUCCGGAAUUACUGGGUGUAAAGGGAGCGUAGGCGGGACUGCAAGUUGGGUGUAAAAUCGACCGGCUCAACCGGUAGCCGCACUCAAAACUGCAGUUCUUGAGUGAAGUAGAGGCAGGCGGAAUUCCUAGUGUAGCGGUGAAAUGCGUAGAUAUUAGGAGGAACACCAGUGGCGAAGGCGGCCUGCUGGGCUUUUACUGACGCUGAGGCUCGAAAGUGUGGGGAGCAAACAGGAUUAGAUACCCGGGUAGUC